CUGUAAUCUUCAUGCCUGUAAUACAUAGAAUAGUUCUUUUCAUGAGUCGAUUUUGUUCAUGCUUGUAUAUCAAGAUGCACAUGUGCGAUUGUGGUGCGAUUAAUCCGGCUGUCAGUCUAAAUUAAAUAUUUUACAUCAUUCUCUGUUUAAAAGUAGGUAUCGAAUACUUUAUAAAGAUAAUUAUGGACAGUGAAAUUACAAAAUCUCAUUCAAUAGAAGAUGUACAAAAGAGUAAGGACGAUGUGCUUGAUAAAGUAUCUGAGGAAUUAAAAAAGGCCGUUUUGUUAAAAAGUGCUCCACUCCCUUCUGCCACACCGGUAGUAAAAGGAUUUGAUUGGAAUUCUGGUGUUGACUACGAUGCUCUUCUCAAAAGUUAUGCACUAUCAGGAUUUCAAGCAACUAAUUUUGGUUUAGCUGUAGAAGAAAUUCAGAAGAUGUUAACCGCACGUAGUGUGGGUUUGAAUAAAGAACAGAUAGAUUCAUUUGAAGAUGAUGAGUUUAUUAAAAGAAAAAAUUCUUGUACUAUUUUCUUGGGAUACACAUCAAACAUGGCGUCAUGUGGAAUUCGGGACACGAUACGUUUUCUAGUUCAACAUAAACUAGUUGAUUGUAUUGUAACAACUGCCGGUGGUGUUGAAGAAGACCUAAUCAAAUGCUUAGCACCAACGUACAUAGGAGACUUCACAUUAGAUGGAAAAUUACUCAGAGAUAAAGGAAUUAAUCGAAUUGGAAAUUUAUUAGUUCCUAAUAAUAAUUAUUGUCUUUUUGAGGAUUGGGUUAUGCCUAAAUUUGACGAAAUGUUAAAGGAGCAAAAUGAAAAGGGAAUGUUAUGGACCCCAUCUAAAAUCAUAGAAAAAUUGGGUAAAGACAUAAACAAUACAAAUUCAAUUUGUUACUGGGCUGCUAAAAAUAAAAUUCCAAUAUUCAGUCCAGCCUUAACUGACGGUAGUCUUGGAGACAUGAUGUAUUUUCAUUCGUUUCGAAAUCCUGGAUUAGUAGUCGACAUUUUAUCAGAUUUACGACGGUUAAAUACUAUGUCUGUAAAAGCUGUCAGUACUGGAAUUAUUAUCAUUGGAGGUGGUGUUGUGAAACAUCAUAUUUGUAACGCAAAUCUAAUGAUGUUUUUAGAGGAAUGGGGCUGAUUAUUCUGUUUUUAUCAAUACAUCUUCUGAAUUCGAUGGCAGUGACAGUGGUGCUCGUCCUGAUGAAGCAAUAUCAUGGGGGAAAAUUCGCAAAGAAGCUUCUCCAGUAAAAAUAUACGCUGAAGCAACCUUAGUUUUUCCUCUUCUUGUGGGUGAGACUUUCGCUAAACAUUAUCACUCUUCUAAAGUGAAAACCGUGUCAGAUGUUUAAAAUAAUUUUAAUUAUUUUUUAUAACUAUUUUUUAAUUGUAAUAUAAGUUUUUUAUUAAAUAUAUGAUAUUAAAAUGGUA